rnacentral:rRNA from 1 species
UACGGAGGGGGUUAGCGUUGUUCGGAAUUACUGGGCGUAAAGCGCACGUAGGCGGAUUGACAAGUUGGGGGUGAAAUCCCGGGGCUCAACCCCGGAACUGCCUUUGAAACUAGUAAACUAGAAUCUUGGAGAGGUCAGUGGAAUUCCGAGUGUAGAGGUGAAAUUCGUAGAUAUUCGGAAGAACACCAGUGGCGAAGGCGACUGACUGGACAAGUAUUGACGCUGAGGUGCGAAAGCGUGGGGAGCAAACAGG